ensembl:lncRNA
GGAAUCUUUGGGCGAGCUUCCGUGAUUUAAUCCGGUCUGCCUGCAGCGUUGAGCUCGGGCUGUCUCAGUGACCGAGGAUUGUGAUCAGAAAUGGAGGUGAAAAAUCACUGCGAGGAAAAUCAGCUGAAGAAUGGAGUGCAGAACGGGGUUCCGAAGGAAACACCUCCAGCGAAACCUGCAAAUCACACCAAAUGGAACCAGAUCUGUAAGAGUGCUCAGUGUUUAUUUCAACAGGUCAAACAUGUUUAUAGUGCAAUUUAAUCAGUGCUGCU